AGUGAACGCUGGCGGCAGGCCUAACACAUGCAAGUCGAGCGGCAGCGCGGGGGCAACCCUGGCGGCGAGCGGCGGACGGGUGAGGAAUUCGUCGGAAUCUGCCUUUUUGUGGGGGAUAACGUAGGGAAACUUACGCUAAUACCGCAUACGUCCUACGGGAGAAAGUGGGGGACCGCAAGGCCUCACGCAGAAAGAUGAGCCUACGACCGAUUAGCUAGUUGGUGGGGUAAAGGCCCACCAAGGCGACGAUCGGUAGCUGGUCUGAGAGGAUGAUCAGCCACACUGGGACUGAGACACGGCCCAGACUCCUACGGGAGGCAGCAGUGGGGAAUAUUGGACAAUGGGCGCAAGCCUGAUCCAGCCAUGCCGCGUGUGUGAAGAAGGCCUUCGGGUUGUAAAGCACUUUUGUCCGGAAAGAAAUCCCUGGAGCUAAUACCUUCGGGGGAUGACGGUACCGGAAGAAUAAGCACCGGCUAACUUCGUG
rnacentral:rRNA from 1 species